AAAAAAAUAAAUCCUAAAUAUCUGUGUCAAUAUUUAACUGUCUGUUUUAUAUGAACUUUUUUAUAAUUAGUAUUUUUAUUAUUGUUAGAUGAUAAAACAUGAUUAAUACUUUAUGUGUGACUUAUCUUUUUAAUUUUUUUUAUAAUUUUUUUAAAUAAAACGGAUGGUGAAACGUUAGAUAUAAAAAUCAGGGUU
rnacentral:pre_miRNA from 1 species